ACUUUCAACAACGGAUCUCUUGGUUCUGGCAUCGAUGAAGAACGCAGCGAAAUGCGAUACGUAAUGUGAAUUGCAGAAUUCCGUGAAUCAUCGAAUCUUUGAACGCACAUUGCGCCCGCCAGCAUUCUGGCGGGCAUGCCUGUUCGAGCGUCA
rnacentral:rRNA from 1 species